rnacentral:rRNA from 1 species
UACGAAGGGGGCUAGCGUUGUUCGGAAUUACUGGGCGUAAAGCGCACGUAGGCGGAUCGAUCAGUCGGGGGUGAAAUCCCAGAGCUCAACUCUGGAACUGCCUUUGAUACUGUCGAUCUAGAGUAUGGAAGAGGUGAGUGGAAUUCCGAGUGUAGAGGUGAAAUUCGUAGAUAUUCGGAGGAACACCAGUGGCGAAGGCGGCUCACUGGUCCAUUACUGACGCUGAGGUGCGAAAGCGUGGGGAGCAAACAGG